GACACAUUGAAGCCAGAUGCGUAUGCCACAUCCCACAUUAAAAAUGCAAGAAUUAGAAUUUUUAUUCCCAUUCCUCACAACGACAAGCCCUCUGAGAAGAUGAAGCAAGAAUUGCAGGUGGUGUAAGCAAGAGAGCAACUGCAAAUACCCAAUCUUUCGCAAGAUAUAAUGAAUUGAAGCAACCCAAAAGUGAUAUUCUCGAAGAAGCCGCCUUGCAGUUUCGCGCGAAAUUGCCGGAAAUCAUACCACUACGGCAUAUUCAAUUCAUGCAAGUGAAGAUCAAAGAGUACUGCCCGG